AAAAUAAAAAGCCACCCGGCAAGGUGGCUUUUUAAAGUUCAGUAAACCGGCAAGUUUCUGAACCAGGGUAACUGGCUUACACGGAGCACAGUGACCAAAUAAGUCUUCAUAGUGUAGCUGUAUAUCAGCAGUCACUUCAAGAGUCUCUUUUCUAUUGCUCCGUGUGCACAGGUUACCAAUGGCUACCGCCAGUGGCGAUUUGUCGUGUCUGUCAGGGUUGGAUUCAAGAGUUUGUUACCUGAUAAAGACGUGGUAGUCAGGCUGAACGGGGAGUUCGUGCAUACAGCCUAGCUUGGAGCGAACCACCUACAAGGCACUCAGUUGCAUGGGAAGGAAUGAGAAAACGCCACCACGGUAACGGAACGGCGGUCUGCAACGGGUAAACCUCAGGGUGGGAACAGGAGAGCGCACGAGGGAGCGACCUAUCGGAAACGGUGGGGAUCUUUAAGUCCUGUCAGGUUUCGCCACUUCUGAUUUGAGCACCGGAAAUCAUCCGAUUUCUGUGAUGUUCAUCAGGAGGGCGAAGCCUAUGGAAAAACG
rnacentral:misc_RNA from 1 species